rnacentral:lncRNA from 1 species
UGAUUAUGGACUUGAUUAACCAUGGAUUUUCAUAAGGGAUCCAUUAGCAAAAGACUUAUCAUAUAGCUAAGUAUUAUUGGAUAUAUUUACUUAUUAGACCUUUCUAGUAUCUUUAUUUCCUUGUUUAUCUUAGUUUACUAAAGUACGACAAUAAUAUCUUUUUGAGUUAUAUAUAUUGUUAUGCCCCAAGGCUGACGUAACUGUUGUGCUGUGAUUACUUAUG